GCGUUCUUCCGGCUCCCUAGCCCCCCCCUCACCCAACGACCUCCCACUUCGCCCUCAUGACGAGAGGCGCACACCCUUUCCGUGUGUGUGGCAUCUGCAGGGCCUACACACACACACACACGCACCGCACCCCUGCCAAGUGCCGCACCACCUGUGGUGGCGACGGGGCCAAGCGCCUGCGACGUAGGGGAAGUCAGAGCGACUCAUCGCUGCUGAUGUCGGCGGUCGCGUCCCGGAUGGCGUGGCGUCGGAGCGACCGGCGACGGUGAACACGUCUUUGCCACCCACAUGAUGGGCGAAGCGUCACCGCUCCCCGAGCGUAACUCAGCCGCACCUGAGAGGUGCACGACGUGGCGACCGGCAUGAUGGGAGCGGCUGGGAGGCAGCGUGCGCGGUGCAGGGUGGGCGGGGUGUAGGGCAGGGGCCGUGCUCCGAUGACUGGGCUGGCGCAUGCGCUGUAGCACGUGUCUACGUAUGUGCGUGUGUGUACGCGCGCGGCGGUGCGCCUCAAAAAAAAGCGCACGACUGCGAAGGAGGAGGAGGAGGAGGAGGAGGAGUGUCCCUCACCUUUGGUACAUCUCCCUAGUCGCUGUCUGUCUCAAGCCCGCGCGCUCCGAUUUGCAUUUGAAGUGCCGCGCCCCCUCCCUCCGACUCCCUCUUUCCCUUCCCCUUCCCAGCUCUGCCUGACGGCGCCACGAUGCCUGCACACCCAGCCGAUACCUAAGGCGGACAAGAAACAGAGAGCAUGCAGAAAAGGCGGAUCGCCAAAAACAUGCUGUUUCUCAUCCACACCUCAAUCCCCCCCCUUCUCCUUUGGAGAAGUUGAAAGGUGGAAAAAGGCAUGGCACGGUCACACGCAGCGUGUAAGGUGCUCGCUCAUUCACUGAUCGCUGUCCAUUGCGUCUCCGCAUAUGCGUGGUUGGGCCUCGGCCUCUUGGUGUUUCCGCCGUCCACCGCCGGCGAGCUUUACACGUCAACUUCUCCUGUCGCGUCCCUCAUAUUUCAUCCAAUGCCCUCCCUCUCCCUCAUCACACACACACACACACAUGCACCGCGCGCGCCCGAGCACUCCGAUCCAUCCAUGCAG
rnacentral:misc_RNA from 1 species